AUUGAACGCUGGCGGCAUGCCUAACACAUGCAAGUCGAACGGUAGCAGGAAGCAGCUUGCUGCUUUGCUGACGAGUGGCGGACGGGUGAGUAAUGUCUGGGAAACUGCCCGAUGGAGGGGGAUAACCACUGGAAAAGGUAGCUAAUACCGCAUAACGUCGCAAGACCAAAAAGGGGGACCUUAGGAUCGUCUGCCCUCGGUUUUGCCGAGCUGGGAUUCGGUAGUUGGUGGGGUAAUGGCUCACCUAGGCGACGAUCCUUAGCUGGUCUGAGAGGAUGACCAGCAACACUGGAACUGAGACACGGCCCAGACUCCUACGGGAGGCAGCAGUGGGGAAUAUUGGACAAUGGGCGCAAGCCUGAUGCAGCCAUGCCGCGUGUAUGAAGAAGGCCUUAGGGUUGUAAAGUACUUUCAGCGGGGAGGAAGGGAGUAAAGUGAAUACCGGUGCUGAUUGACGUUACCCGAAGAAGAAGCACCGGCUAACUACGUG
rnacentral:rRNA from 1 species